AUACGUAGGGAGCAAGCGUUGUCCGGAUUUACUGGGUGUAAAGGGUGCGUAGGCGGCUUUACAAGUCAGGCGUGAAAUUCAGAGGCUUAACCUCUGAACUGCGCUUGAAACUGCUUGGCUUGAGUGAAGUAGAGGCAGAUGGAAUUUCCAGUGUAGCGGUAAAAUGCAUAGAUAUUGGAAGGAACACCGGUGGCGAAGGCGAUCUGCUGGGCUUUAACUGACGCUGAGGCACGAAAGUGUGGGGAGC
rnacentral:rRNA from 1 species